UACGGAGGGUGCGAGCGUUGUCCGGAAUCACUGGGCGUAAAGGGCGCGUAGGCGGCGCGGAUAGUCGGCGGUGAAAGCCCGGAGCUCAACUCCGGGUCGGCCGUCGACACUUCCGGGCUUGAGCACUGUAGAGGCAGAUGGAAUUCCGGGUGUAGCGGUGGAAUGCGUAGAGAUCCGGAAGAACACCGGUGGCGAAGGCGGUCUGCUGGGCAGUUGCUGACGCUGAUGCGGCGACAGCGUGGGGAGCAAACAGGAUUAGAAACCCCCAGUAGAU
rnacentral:rRNA from 1 species